rnacentral:rRNA from 1 species
CGGCGGACGGGUGAGUAACGCGUGGGUAACCUGCCUCAUACAGGGGGAUAACAGUUAGAAAUGACUGCUAAUACCGCAUAAGACCACGGUACCGCAUGGUACAGUGGUAAAAACUCCGGUGGUAUGAGAUGGACCCGCGUCUGAUUAGGUAGUUGGUGGGGUAACGGCCUACCAAGCCGACGAUCAGUAGCCGGACUGAGAGGUUGAACGGCCACAUUGGGACUGAGACACGGCCCAG